ACACGUAGGGGGCGAGCGUUGUCCGGAAUCACUGGGCGUAAAGGGCGUGUAGGCGGCUGAUUAAGUCAGUUGUAAAAGGCUGCGGCUUAACCGCAGAAGUGCAAUUGAAACUGGUCAGCUUGAGGGCAAGAGAGGAAAGCGGAAUUCCUAGUGUAGCGGUGAAAUGCGUAGAUAUUAGGAGGAACACCAGUGGCGAAGGCGGCUUUCUGGCUUGACCCUGACGCUGAGGCGCGAAAGCGUGGGGAGCAAACAGGAUUAGAUACCCUGGUAGUCCACGCCGUAAACGAUGGGUACUAGGUGUAGGAGGUAUCGACCCCUUCUGUGCCGUAGCAAACGCAUUAAGUACCCCGCCUGGGGAGUACGGCCGCAAGGCUGAA
rnacentral:rRNA from 1 species